rnacentral:rRNA from 1 species
UACGUAGGGUGCAAGCGUUAAUCGGAAUUACUGGGCGUAAAGCGUGCGCAGGCGGUGAUGUAAGACAGUUGUGAAAUCCCCGGGCUUAACCUGGGAAUGGCGAUGGAGACUGCAAGGCUAGAGUUUGGCAGAGGGGGGUAGAAUUCCACGUGUAGCAGUGAAAUGCGUAGAGAUGUGGAGGAACACCGAUGGCGAAGGCAGCCCCCUGGGUCAAAACUGACGCUCAUGCACGAAAGCGUGGGGAGCAAACAGG